GACGAACGCUGGCGGCGUGCUUAACACAUGCAAGUCGAACGGUAAGGCCCUUCGGGGUACACGAGUGGCGAACGGGUGAGUAACACGUGGGUGAUCUGCCCUGCACUUCGGGAUAAGCCUGGGAAACUGGGUCUAAUACCGGAUAGGACCACUGCCUGCAUGGGUGGUGGUGGAAAGCUUUUGCGGUGUGGGAUGGGCCCGCGGCCUAUCAGCUUGUUGGUGGGGUGAUGGCCUACCAAGGCGACGACGGGUAGCCGGCCUGAGAGGGUGGACGGCCACACUGGGAUGGAGAUACGGCCCAGACUCCUACGGGAGGCAGCAGUGGGGAAUAUUGCACAAUGGGCGCAAGCCUGAUGCAGCGACGCCGCGUGAGGGAUGACGGCCUUCGGGUUGUAAACCUCUUUCAGCACCGACGAAGCGCAAGUGACGGUAGGUGCAGAAGAAGGACCGGCCAACUACGUGCCAGCCGCCGCCGUAA
rnacentral:rRNA from 1 species